UAAAAUGACUCUCGGCAACGGAUAUCUAGGCUCUCGCAUCGAUGAAGAACGCAGCGAAAUGCGAUACUUGGUGUGAAUUGCAGAAUCCCGUGAAUCAUCGAGUCUUUGAACGCAAGUUGCGCCCGCGGACUUUUGGCCAAGGGCACGUCUGCCUGGGCGUC
rnacentral:rRNA from 1 species